rnacentral:rRNA from 1 species
GUGCCAGCCGCCGCGGUAACACCGGCAGCUCAAGUGGUGACCACUUUUAUUGGGCUUAAAGCGCCCGUAGCCGGACUUACAAGCCCCUGGUUAAAUCCUACGGCUUAACCGUAGGCUUGCUGGGGGAACUGUAAGUCUUGGGGCCGGAAGAGGUCGGAGGUACUCCCGGGGUAGUGGUAAAAUGCUAUAAUCCUGGGGGGACCACCAAUAGCGAAAGCAUCCGACUGGGACGGACCCGACGGUGAGGGACGAAGGUCAGGGGAGCGAACCGGAUUAGAAACCCGUGUAGUCC